UGGGGGACAACAGUUGGAAACGACUGCUAAUACCGCAUAAUGUAUCCGGAGGGCAUCCUCUGGAUACCAAAGCUUUAUGUGCUGAGAGAUGGUCUCGCGUCUGAUUAGCUAGAUGGCGGGUAACGGCCACCAUGGCGACGAUCAGUAGCCGGUCUGAGAGGAUGAACGGCCACAUUGGGACUGAGAUACGGCCCAGACUCCUACGGGAGGCAGCAGUGGGGAAUAUUGGGCAAUGGGGGAAACCCUGACCCAGCAACGCCGCGUGAAGGAAGAAGGCUUUCGGGUUGUAAACUUCUUUUACCAGGGACGAAGGACGUGACGGUACCUGGAGAAAAAGCAACGGCUAACUACGUG
rnacentral:rRNA from 1 species